UCCCCUGUGCAUAGCUGCACCGAAUCUGAACAGCAAUGGCACAAGCCACGGACAGUGGGUGUGAAGCCAGGACCUAUCAACUCUAUGAUCUUCACUAAGCCGGUACCAAAUAGGAUGGCCCAGACUGGAGUACGGAGUGGAUUCUACAGAGGCAUUGUGGGUCCAUUACCAGAUCCCUGACCUGACAAGCCCCUUGUGGAAAGUGCCUUUGGGCUGGUGCAGGAGGGCAGUGUUCUGUCAUGUCAGCAGCCGGUUUUGACAACCCGGUACAUCACACUACACCGUGAUGCACCACCAACACCGCACUUGCCUCUGGAGGGUAUGACAUCAAGGAAACCCUGCUCGCUCAGACAGCCUGUGAUAUUUUCUCAAACCGCUGCGCUGAACAAGUUUCCAAAGAACAUGCUGUGUGACACAAUAAAUAUCCUUUAACCUGUUAACCUGUGGCUUCUGGAAGAAACUCGGGUGAGUCAGUCACUGCAAACACAUUUGUAUCAUCAAGUGUUUGUCAAAUGAAAAUGAUAUGUUUUUCUACACUUAGGAUAAUUUUCUAUGUUGCAGUGCAGUAAAGUGCAUGUUUCUUCUGUGUUCAAUCAUACAUGUUCUAAUUGUUAUAAACAGAAAAAAUCUUUUCUUACUUAACUGCUUGAUUCUUAACUUGUUUAACUGAAACAUGAUGAAAUGUCAUAGUAUUAUUUUUUUUAAAUGUCCUUGGCAGUGCAUGUGUCCGCAUUGUAACUUACUAAUAAAAAGUCCUGUGUGUA